GACAGAGGUGCCGAGCGUUAGGCGGAAUCACUGGGCUUAAAGCGUGUGUAGGCGGGCGGGCAAGUACCUUGUGAAAUCCCACGGCUCAACCGUGGAACUGCUGGGUAUACUGGUUGUCUUGAGCCAGCUAGGGGCGAGCGGAACAGACGGUGGAGCGGUGAAAUGCGUAGAUAUCGUCUGGAACGCCGAAGGUGAAAACAGCUCGCUGGGGCUGCGCUGACGCUGAGACACGAAAGCCAGGGGAGCGAACGGGG
rnacentral:rRNA from 1 species